AUAAAUAACGUUUACCUCUACAAAACCUUAGGGGCAUCUCCCAGAGGGUUUUAUGCCUCCGUGAACUUUCAAAGCCAUGGGAGCAGUUCGGAGCUAAUUCACCUGCAACCAAUGCUCACAUAAUUCCUAUCCCUAUUUACCCAGACUCUUAAAUUUCCAGAAAAAUGAGGUAUUUACGAUUCAUUUCCCAUAUUCAAAAAUCAUUUCGCCAAAACCCUAUCCCCAAUUUCCCUCCAACCACUAACCCUAAUAUCUUGGCCCUAAUCCAAUCCAAAACCUCAUCUUCUCGAUCCUCGUGUUUGUUGAAUUCUAAGCGUGGGUGCACCUCUUCUGUACAAGAGUCGAAAUCGGCCCCCUCUGAGAGGGUCUCGGAGAUCGUCGACGAGCUCAUGGGCCUCACACUGCUCGAAGUUUCGGACCUCGUGGAGGUUCUGCGCGAGAAGUUGGGCGUCACUGAGAUGCCGACGAUGAUGGUGAUGAUGCCCGGGAUGGUGCCUGGGGCUUUAAAGGGCGCGGCGGGAAAGGGCGGUGCGACGCCGAAGGCGGAGGAGAAGGCAGAGAAGACGGUGUUCGAUGUGAAGCUCGAAGGGUUCGAAGCCGCGGCGAAGAUCAAAGUGAUUAAGGAGGUGAGGACGUUUACCGACUUGGGGUUGAAGGAGGCGAAGGAUUUGGUGGAGAAGUCACCGACGCUGUUGAAAAAGGGGGUGACCAAGGACGAGGCCGAGAAGAUUAUUGCGAAGUUAAAGGAGAUCGGCGCCAAAGUUUCGAUGGAAUGAGGCACUAAGUCUAUUGGGAUACAAGGAAGCUAAUGGAAUUUGAGCAAUCAGAGUCUGAUUAAGGCUAUGCAGGAGAAGAGGAUGAAGACCGCGAAGUGUGAGGCUUUAUGAUACAGAUUGUCAAGAUGGAGGAUUGCAGAUACUAAUGUACCACACUUGAAUUUCUUCAUAUCUGCUUUGCUAAAUUUCUGACCGGUGGGAGGAAAAAAAAUUCGAGCAAGUUGCAUUCUAUUGUUCCUAACUUGCAUUUCCGGUUGAACUUUCUUAAAGACUCUUUUCACCUGUCGUGGAAUUGGUUAUUUAGGAUGGACACGUUCAUUUCAUGGACCUUUUAGAGUUGUACCUUGCAUAUCUUUCCGAUGGCUUCCAAGGCCAGCAAUAAACCUUUGCAACUUGACACAACUGAAUGAAAGGAGGCCUAAAAGAUUGAAUGGA